UCCCACGGCGGCCAGCAGAGGGCGCGCACGCACCGCGACCAGCGAGGGUCCGGUUCGUCCGCGUGCGCAGAGGUGGCUGGCAGAGGGCGCCCCUUAGGCUUUUUGGAUCCAGAGCGCCUCAGAGCCGAAAAGGUUUUCCGUUUCCUCCUAGAACCCAGUGCCUCUGACCCCAGGCAAAGAGCCAGAGCAGCGUUUCCAGAGGCUUUGCAGCGACUUGGCCUCUCAGUGGCGGGGCUGAGUACUGAGGAGGGGGGCUGGGUGGCUUCUCCGGAAGUGCUGGUUGGUCAGUGAGCCUCAGACGCCCUUGCGUUUUCUGGGCUGUUCCAUGGUUUGUUCCUCAUUCUCCCUAUCCGUAUUUGAAUGAGAUGUAUAUGACCAAAGGAUCCGUGGAUUCAAGGGGUCCGGGUCCCGCGAUGCUGGGAUUGGGCUGUUCCAGAUUCAGACUUGUUUUCAGGGAGAAAUCCUGACACAAAUUAGGAACGGGAGCUCAUUUGUUUGGAAGUGGAAACGUGAAAUUUGAGUCUCAGGACCUUCUAGAAGAAUGAGCUGGACCCGCUUUCCGAUUCCUGCCGGAACCAGAGCCCGAGUCAUUGGAAACAACAGAAAAUCUGACAGUUGAGAGUUCUUUUUCCAAUUUCUCAUGAACACGUGAACAUCUGACUUUGCAAAUUGAUUGCAGUUUUUACUAAAAGCUCAUUCACGGGAUCCCUCUGUGGCUGCUCCUGGGCAAAGAACGGAUCAAGACCACUUCUCAGUGUGGGUAAGAUUGGACUAAGCAAGCUCUGGGAAUCAAAUUUAGAAGAAAAAGCCUGAUGGCAUUUUGUCUUUAUUAAAAUUGAUACCUAUAUCCCCGAUUGACACAUUUUCACCUUGAAAAAAAAUUUUUUUGCUCAUUUUCUCAUUAAGAUAUUUGUAGACCUACCUGAGUUUUAUAUUCACCACAUAUACUUUUAAGGCUUCUUUCUGUCGUUCUAAGAAAACAGACUUUCUGAUGUGCAUGCAGGUUUCUGGAACUUCAAGAUUUGUUGUUGUAGGUCUCUGAUAUCUUUUCCAGCCACUUAAAAUACAAUCCCACCGUGAAUAGUUCCAUAAAAGAUGCAAUCUGUGUGCACCAGUAUGAUUUCAUAUCGUAUAGUGGAUUUCUUCAUUUGAUAUGUUAUGUAUAUGUAUAUAUUAGAGGUUUUAGACCUGAGAAAAUACGAUUUUAGACAUUAGAAAACCAUGGGUUCAACAUGUAGUUGAAUUUGAACGAAAAAUUUAAAUCCUAUAUGUAAAAUUAAAUCCUAUGUGUAAAAUAUGCAAAUGUAAAUAUUUGCAUAUUGAAUUAAUACAUGUAGAAUUUUGCAUGUGAAAUUAGGGCUAUUUGCUGAGAGAGAUGCAAAGGGAGAAUAGUCAUUUCAGGCGGAAACUAUGGUGUAUAGUUUUUACAUGCCUGCAGCAGUUACUCAAUUAUAUAUCUGUUUAUGAGCAAUUUUAUGACAG